GCAGUCGUGGCGGAAUUGGCAUACGCGUUGGUCUCAGAAGCCAAUGGAGCAAUCCUUGUGAGUUCAAGUCUCAUCGACUGCACCA
rnacentral:tRNA from 1 species